UAAUUUGUUUCAGAUAAAGUAAAAUCAUGUGACAUUUCGUUUCUGCACACCCAAAUUUGCAGUACCAUCUUCAUAUCUGGUUUACUUUUAAGUAUUGAGCCCAUAUUUAUUAUUGGACACAGACUCUAGAGGAAAUCUCUUGAAUAAAAAAUUCUCACGUUUUUGUUUCUUUGUAACAAAUAAUGCCCACCUUUUUUCCAUUGCUCUCUCAUUUCCAAUCCUUCUGAUUACCAGGAAAGAAAAUCCUAAAUUAAGUAUUCAUGUCAUUAACCUUUGCAAUGUUUUUAUAAGAAAAGAAGGGUGUAUCCACGGGAGACAAGCGAUGUUGGAGCAGUGCUGAGGAAAGCAGGAGGCAGCAAAUAUGAAAAACUGGAUUCUGAGUAUGUAUUGAGUUCUUACUUGAGGCAGAUAUUGUAUGUUGACUCUCUCAACACCCAUUCCAACUUCUUUUUACUUGCCUUCCUCCAUUUUGGAAGCUUAAAAGCUAAAAGCUCAUCUUUUCAGUUCUGGCCAAUGAGACAUCAGCUUUGAAAGACUUCAGUACUUUCGGUUAGGGCUGCCUCUUCUCUUUCUUCCUUUCCACUGCCCAGAAUGUUAUUAGCCAUCCCACGGUUGAAGCAGCCCUUACUAAGGAUGAUGGAGCAGAAGAGCAAGAAGCCUCCUUUCUCGAUGGCAUCCUUGAGCCCCUACACACUCCCUAGACCUAC
rnacentral:lncRNA from 1 species